CUCUGGAACUUUGAGUCAUGCCCUCUUGCUUUCCUCCCCCGGCUCCCAUCCUGAAAUUCUGCUGAAUCCACCCAAAUCUGUAUGGUUUGGCUGUGUCUUGGGUAUGUUUGAUUUGGGUAUAAAAAGAGUGACUUUGGGACAAACAUUCUGUGUCUGAAGGGGCCCGGGAAUUGAACUGCCAAGGGGCUGGUUUUUUUGUCCUCGUCAUGCCCAAAAAUUCGUGGGUUUUUUCUUCACCUUUUUGAGGCCAAAUUCAGCAUUUGGGAGGGUUUGUAUGGGACAAGGGAUGGCACAAGAUGGGAUAUUGUGGCUCUUCCUUCCAUUCUGUGGUAAGUAAAACUGCUGUUUUCCACACAAGAUCUCCAAAUUUCAUGGAUUUUGUACAUAUUUCCAGGCUUUUUAGCACAGAAAAUGAAAUCCUGAGCCCCUGGGCUUGUUUUUGCCUGAAAAUUCCUCCAACAACCUCUCAGCUGCAGAUUUAUUAUUUUUAACCAAAAGCCCCCAUUUUGAAAUAUUUUUUUAAUCCAAAAACCUUUAGAAUCUUCUUUUUUUCAUGAAUGCCUCUAUAAUUUCAUGGGGAGAAAUCCCCUUUUUCCUCAGUUUCUAUGGGGAAAAAAAAAUGCACUUUGUCCUGGUUAUUUUGGUUUAGUUUUUUGGUUUGGGGUUUUUUUUGUUUUGUUUUGGGUUUUUUUUGUGUGUGUUUUUUUGGUUUUUUUGUUGGUUUUUUUUUUUAGCUAAAAUUCAAAUGAUUAGUUUUAGUGUUUUUCCAGGACCAAACCCCAAGAUUUAUUUGCUGGAACUGUAUUUUCUUCCAGGGAAAAAAUAUCUACUUUUAAAAGAUGUUUUUAGAUGAAACAAAAGUCCUUUUAUUUGCUCUUUUUAAAUAAAAGAAGUUAGUUCUUAAGGAAAAAAAACCCUUUUAUUCCUUAUUUUCCUGACUUUUUUCUCAUUGUCAUUAAAACCUUUUAUCAACCCAAUUUUUAGGUAAUGUUCUAAAGAAAAAAAUACUUUUUAUUCUCUUAAUAUUUUCUUGUGGGUUUUUUUGUUUAAUUUUAUUUUAAAAAUUUAUUUAAUGAGGAAAAAAAGCCCUCUUGAACUCUUUUUUAGGUUUCAAGUACUUUAAAGAAAAAAAACUUCUUUUACUCUGUUAUAGUUUUUAAAAUUCCAAUUGCUCAUUUCCCUCUUAAUGUUUCUUCAUAAUCCCCCUUUUUUAAAAACACAACUCUUAUUCAUGUAUUAUUUCAGAAAGCCCCUUUUAAUCCUCUUUUUUUAUUCAAAGUUAAACCUCAUUAUUCCCUGUUUUUCCACCAAAACACUCAAAUUCCAUUUUUUCCAAAAAAAUCACCAGAAUUAUUUUUUUAAUCUAACAUCCCCAAUUACCUAUUUUUUAAUUUAAAAAAAAAUCCUUAUGAUGGGCUUUUAUGUAUAUGCUGAGUUUUAUUCAAUUUUCAUCUAAUUUUCCUUUUUUUUUCCCUGCCAAUCUCAAGAUGGUUUUUUUUUUCUCCCUUUUAAUUAGGAGAAGAUACCCACUCUUUUAAGCCUGUUUUGGGGCAAAAAAUGGCUAUUUUGUUGGUUUGUAGCAUUAAAAAAAAUGAAAAAAUAUUUUUGAUUCUUUUAAAGUAUCUUUUGUUUAG